AGCGGCGGACGGGUGAGUAACGCGUGGGUAACCUGCCUUACACAGAGGGAUAACAGUUAGAAAUGACUGCUAAUACCGCAUAAGACCCCGGUACCGCAUGGUACUGAGGUAAAAACUGAGGUGGUGUAAGAUGGACCCGCGUCUGAUUAGGUAGUUGGUGAGGUAACGGCUCACCAAGCCGACGAUCAGUAGCCGGCCUGAGAGGGUGGACGGCCACAUUGGGACUGAGACACGGCCCAGACUCCUACGGAAGGCAGCAG
rnacentral:rRNA from 1 species